rnacentral:rRNA from 1 species
AAGUAGGUCCCAAGGGUAUGGCUGUUCGCCAUUUAAAGUGGUACGCGAGCUGGGUUUAGAACGUCGUGAGACAGUUCGGUCCCUAUCUGCCGUGGGCGCUGGAGAAUUGAGGGGGGCUGCUCCUAGUACGAGAGGACCGGAGUGGACGCAUCACUGGUGUUCGGGUUGUCAUGCCAAUGGCACUGCCCGGUAGCUAAAUGCGGAAGAGAUAAGUGCUGAAAGCAUCUAAGCACGAAACUUGCCCCGAGAUGAGUUCUCCCUGAGACUUUAAGUCUCCUGAAGGAACGUUGAAGACGACGACGUUGAUAGGCCGGGUGUGUAAGCGCAGCGAUGCGUUGAGCUAACCGGUACUAAUGAACCGUGAGGCUUAACCUUACAACGCCGAAG